AGUUGCUUAACUUUUGGAAAGUGGGUGUUUUGAAAGCACUAAAAAAGAGUUCAAAUCUCUUAGUAACUU
rnacentral:tRNA from 1 species